rnacentral:rRNA from 1 species
UGGCGAACGGGUGAGUAACACGUGAGUAACCUGCCCUUGACUUUGGGAUAACUUCAGGAAACUGGGGCUAAUACCGGAUAGGAGCUCCUGCUGCAUGGUGGGGGUUGGAAAGUUUCGGCGGUUGGGGAUGGACUCGCGGCUUAUCAGCUUGUUGGUGGGGUAGUGGCUUACCAAGGCUUUGACAGGUAGCCGGCCUGAGAGGGUGACCGGCCACAUUGGGACUGAGAUACGGCCCAG